GUAGGGUGCGAGCGUUAAUCGGAAUUACUGGGCGUAAAGCGUGCGCAGGCGGUUUUUUAAGACAGGCGUGAAAUCCCCGGGCUUAACCUGGGAACUGCGCUUGUGACUGGAAGACUAGAGUAUGGCAGAGGGGGGUGGAAUUCCACGUGUAGCAGUGAAAUGCGUAGAGAUGUGGAGGAACACCGAUGGCGAAGGCAGCCCCCUGGGCCAAUACUGACGCUCAUGCACGAAAGCGUGGGGAGCAAAC
rnacentral:rRNA from 1 species